rnacentral:rRNA from 1 species
GAUGAACGCUGGCGGCGUGCUUAACACAUGCAAGUCGAACGAUGAAAGCGGGAGCUUGCUCCUGCUGGAUUAGUGGCGAACGGGUGAGUAACACGUGAGUAACCUGCCCUUGACUCUGGGAUAAGCGUUGGAAACGACGUCUAAUACCGGAUACGACCUUCGGAGGCAUCUCCUGGGGGUGGAAAGAAUUCGGUCAAGGAUGGACUCGCGGCCUAUCAGCUAGUUGGUGAGGUAAUGGCUCACCAAGGCGACGACGGGUAGCCGGCCUGAGAGGGUGACCGGCCACACUGGGACUGAGACACGGCCCAGACUCCUACGGGAGGCAGCAGUGGGGAAUAUUGCACAAUGGGCGCAAGCCUGAUGCAGCAACGCCGCGUGA